UCUCCUAAGCCCAUUGGCUCCAUGAGGGCAAGCAGUUUGGUCUCUUUUGUUCACUGCUAUGUUCUCCAUGCUUUGAACAGAAGCUUGAUCAUAGUGUGCUCUUAUGCAAUCAAUAGUAACUGAAUAUUAAAUGACAAAAUUCAUAUACAUUGAUUUUUCAUGUUAGAAAUCAUAUGAGCAUACAUUCUGUACUGGAUUUUCCCUGCUUGGAAUUUUCAGUGUGCACAUUUCCAAGGAUCCAUACCCUCCAUACAAUUACCACAUGAAAAGAUUCUCCAGAAGUCCUCCAUGCUGCUGUUUCAUUUCCCAACAGGGUUACUCUAAAUUUUUAAUGUUAAUGAAUAUUUCUAUUCUAAAUAUCAUUGGGUGCACUGAUUUUUCUUCCCUCAGGGUCAUUACUGUGGGAUAUUUGCUAAAAAAAUUCACUACUUCUAAAGAGCCUCUGAGCACUUUUAUGGCUCUUAUUAUUUAGUGCUAGAGCAUCACACAGAAACUUCAGUUUCACUUGGGAUGUAACUCCUGAUAUGCUGAGCUGUGAGGGUUGUUAUGAAAGCAAAUGAACUUUUACAUAAUCUUAUUCCCUCAGCUUCGGCUUCUGAAAAAAUUUCAUAACACAGUAUAGCACAAGUCUCCUUCAAAGUAUUUUCCCCAGGAUUUUGUACAGUUGGAAAAUGUUUCCGUUCCUAAACAGAAUCUGACUAAAAGUUUUUCCACUGAAAUGAGUCUCCAAAUGACCCAGGGAGUUAGCAAACUGUGGUCUUGGGCUGCCUGGUUUUGUAAAUAAAGUUUUAUUUGAAGCUAGCCACACUAAUUUGUUUGCUUAUUGUCUAUAUGGAUGCUUUCCUGCUAUAAUUGCAGAGUUGAGUGGUUGAGAUAACCACUGUGUGGUCCACAAAACCUAAAAUAUUUAUAAUCUUGCCCAGUGCAGGAAAAGCCUGCCAAUCAAUGUUCCACUGUAUAACACAGGGUAACUAGACACCACAGAAGUCUUCCAUAUUUUCCUACCACAAGUAGGAUCUUUUUUAUUGAGUAUACAUAGCACUUGGAAAGAUUUUGGAUUAUAAGAGAUGAUUAGAAUUCAGUAAACUCAAGUAUUAAAAUAAAAUUAGGUACAUUAAUGGUGUAAGAGUGAGGGAUUAGAAAAUUCAGAAGUCAUGUAAACAUCAAUAGCAAUGGUAGAUACAUUACAAAAAUGUCUUGUAAUUUUAUGUGUGUUAUCAGACUUGAAGAUGAUUGUUUUAUAUACCUGAUGGAAUAGCAGGUCGAAUAUAACACUGGGAAUCUAAUGUUCCCAUAACUUUCUAAUUUGACUUGCUGGCAAUUGGAGGUAUGAAGAGCUGAAGAGUUACUGUCAAAUUGAUCACCUGUGUCUGCUGACUAAUUUUAAUUAUGCCUGAUAACAGAAGGCCCACACUAAUGGUCAUUCAUUCACAUGGGGUCACUGUGUAAGCACACUUGAGGAGCCUCAUUCAUACGUAGAAAGAGGGUAAGAGUUGAUACUACCUACUGUGAAUCUUGAUGGGUAAUAACAAGAAGAGUGUCAAAAGCUCAUUAGGCAAGGGAAACAACAUGCACAACAUAUCAUUAUUUCUAUAGUUUGUGAAGAAAACUCAGAGAGUUGAGGAUCUAAGAGUAUGACAUGUGAAGUGGGGAAUAGUGAGCAAUGAGCACCAAGAAGCAUCCUGAGAAACUUAAACUUCAUUCUAUAGGACAUGGGCAGCUAGGGAAGGUUUUAGGCAAUAUAAAAAUAGGAUGAUGGUAAACCCAUUUGGUAGUGUGUGGAAGCUGGAUUUCAACAUAAAACAAGAUGUUGGCAGUAGAGUGAGUGAGAAUAUUUCAACAUUUGGACAGAGGUGUAGGAGUAAGGCUGAUGUUCCAUGGAAAGAUGAUAGGAUGUCCCACAUAUAUGGAAGGAUCUAAAGUCUGGAAGAAACCUAAAGUAAGUAUAGCAUAAGAAUUUAUAGUUAGGAGAUUUAAAAUAUUAUCAAGGCAGUUUCUUGUCAUUAAAAAGGGGACACUGAUUUAAUAUAUGCUAGUAGGGUAUGUCAGUAUUAAUUUCAGCAGAAAUUUCAGAGCCACUUAAAUGGACCCCUCUCCCAUAAAAGAAAAAAAAAAUCUGUGCAUCUUUCUCCCUCAACCCUUAAAAAGUUCCCCACCCAGCAUAGAUCAGCUGCUUAGUACAGGCUGCUCAGAUGCUCUAACAAAGGUUUAAAAUGGUAUAAACUUGAGAUUUGUAGAAGUCACAGAAUUAGACAUGAGGAAAUGGACAUGAGGUUCAAACAUACUUUACACGUGACACAUAAAAAAACUGAUUUCCUAAGAAAAGAUCCCUUUUCUCUGAAACACAAAAUAUCCUAUCACAACAUUUAAGGAUUUUCAAAAAAUCAUCACCCACUCUAUCAUGGACAUGGUGUUUUUACCUGAGGAAUGCCAAACUUCAUAUAUACUGAAUUUCUAAAUAAUGCACAGACUCAUAAGCUUCUCUUAGGAUAGAAGUUGGCACUCUGACACUGGCUGUAAAGGAGAGGAUUCUGAUGGAUGCUCAGAAUUCUUCAUCAGAGCCUCUUGCAGAGAGCUAGUCUAGGAAAGACUUGCCACUGGGUGGCAGGUGUACGGAGGGAUGGAGGAAAUCCCAGAGACUCUGUUCUUUUAAGCUCCUGUUUGGUUUUAAUGAGUAAUAGUGGACCCAGAACAAACCAUAAAAUGCUCAGGUGUACUUUGUACUGUGGCUUGAAAUGCAGCUGCUCAACAGAUGGGAACCACCACAAUCUGAUGUUUGCCAUGAAUAAUACAUUCAGUGAGAAAUGAGUUCUCCAAUCUCAUUCAGGCUAUUUAGCUGUCUAGAAGAAAAAAAUUUUAUUUGAUUAUAUAAACCUGUAAAAAACCUGAGCAUGGGACAUGAUGAUAAAUGGAAGUGAAUCAUGCCUCACAUCUAUAGAUAGACAGAUGUCAAAUAUCAGUUGUAGUAAGAGUUUUUCUUCUUGUUUUUAUAAUGAUUAGCAACAUAAUUAAAUGGCAAUUCUAUUUCUUCCAUUGAAAUUAAAAACCACUGUUCCACUCUUGCUUCUUAAAAAUUUAGACCUACUAUGGGCAAAACAUAAAUAUCACAUGUGGUAGAUAACCCAACACAAAUUUCAAAGGCUGCUAAAUGAUGUAAAUAAACUUCAGGAGAAAAUAUGACUACCCAGAGCCACCAAAGGCAUAUUUCGCCUUUUGCUACACGUGGCUGACCUUCCUGAGUUUGUUUCUUGUGCUUCUUGGAGACUUGCUGAAAAAUGUUCAUGGUUUAAGAUGAGCUACAUAGUGACAGCAGCAUUCUGCUGUGUGUGUUGCCAUGCUUAGAGCAGAAACCCAAAACUUUCUCCUAGAGCGUCAACAACAACAACAACAACAACAACAACAAAAAAAAAAACUAAGCCAAAAUAAAACACUUACUUAUUCUUUUGUACAUUUAGUUUUUCUAUCCCCAGCCUUGGAUUUUGUUCAUGAUGUUAAAUUUUUAGCAAUGAGAUGAUUCAACAAUUUCAUGUUAGCUACCAAAAGGUGAGUUUAAAAUUUUCUGUUUUUAUAAAUAACUAAUAACUAUACAAGUAAAGUUAACAAGGUGAGUAUUUGCUGGGAUUAAAUUUGUGAUUUUUGUGUGUUGUAAUUCUGUAUACUUUCCAAACUAUUUAGUAAGUAUGUCACACUUUCUUUGUAUUUUUUCAUAAUUUAACAACCAAAAAAACCAGUACAAACUUUUGCCUUUUUAAAUGUUUUUAAGGUGGAAUCAGGACAACAGAAAAGAAUAAAUAAAGCCUUGUCAUUAAGCCAUUUGCCAAGACAAGCCCUCAUUCCACAUUACAGAUGUCUGCAAGCAGAGGCAGAAUUCACUCUUUAUCCUUCAUUACUGUCCACUCAAAUCUUGGAAAUAAAAUUGCAAACUUUGGCAGCCCCUCUUCUAUAAGUGGCGGUGGCACGGAUCUUCUUGCCCUUGGCUUCAUCCAGGCUCCACUGAUCAGGAAGAAUGUUUUCCAUCUGGGCAGAGACCUUCCUCAGCCAGCCAAGUGGGUUAUUCACAUUUCCAUUGCAAAUGAAGGGAUUGGAUUCCAAAGGCUGAAAACUGAGAAGUUGGGGUGGGGAGGGCUAUCUUGACCAAAGUAAAACUGCAAAUCCUAAAUUAUCAGGGAGCUUCACAUUUUGUUGAACUUUCCUGACUUCAAAGCCCAGGAGAGGGGCAUCUGUGUCAAAGGGGCUGCCUCUUUGAAAAGGAAGUUUCCUAGCAACUCUGCUGGAGUAUCAUUAAUUAUGAUGGUGGUUGGGAUGGCAGAACCUUCUAUUUAUUUACUCUGCCCUUCUAUGCAUUUCUAGCCUUAGACCUUAACUCCUUCAGUGCUGAUGACUGUCAAGAAAAAGAAUCUGGGGAUUUCUUGCAGUCUAUUUGUGAUCUAAUCAACAAGGACAUUCAUUUUUUCAAGAUUGCCCCUGUAGAAAAUGGCGUUUGGGCUAACUGAUGGACAGAAGUCUUGUCUUCACUCAGGACUAAGCUUGGCAUGUUUGAAGGAAAGAAAGAAGUAAAAAGUGGUUCAAAUGAAGUUAUAAAGGCCCUCUGGGCCUUAGAGCCUACACAAGGAGUUUGCAUCUUACUCCAAGUGCAGCAGAAAACCUCUGAAGUUUAAGAAGGUCAGAGUAUUUGCCAUUUGAAGCAGCAGAGCAGUGUUGACUCCAGGCAAUGAAACAGCAAGUGGAAUUGUCGUCACUUAAGCAUGAAGCUAACCAAUGCCAACACCCUUCAGCCAGGAACUUUCUACCCUUAGAGAAUGCUCAUCCAGGAAUAAGACACAAAUAUUAUGCUGCCUACAAUACCAUUAAUAUCAGGACCUCUUAACUUAAUAAUCAUAUAUAAUGCUCAUGAAACUUGCUGAAAGAAAUUUUCAAUUACAUAGAUUUGAUUAGACUAUUAAUUUCUGUUGUUUUCCUGUAUUUUUGUGCAGAAAAAUGAAAAUACCUUAAUAAAUUGAUCAUUUCUACCUUGUUUACUACAAAACAGUACACAUAGAGAGUUGCAAAACUACUUAAAAUAAAUGAGUGUGUGUGUGUGUGUUGGAGCAGGGUAAUGUUUGCAAGAUUUGUGGUAGGUUGGGUAUGAGAAUUGGCUAGUGGCAUUGUUAUAAUUUCUGGUUAAAGUUUUGCAGAGAUUUCUUCUGGUUCCAGGAAUGUUGUUGAUGUCAGGAGGUCAGAAGUUCUGAGAACUUUAAUCCUUUUUUCCUCUGAGAAGUUCUCAGACUUCAGAAUGUAUCAGCAUCACCUGACCUUGAUUUGGGAAUGGAGCCCAUGAUCUGUAUCAUUAGCAAGCAUCUGAUGUGGAAGUGGUGCCAUGGACCACACUGCAGAAACACUGUCCUCAAGUCUGGUGUUUGUGGAAUUAUGCUACGAUAUUUUUACUUCACAUUUGGAGCUCUAAUUAACACAUGGAUCUGAGAGCCUGAAAGAGGCUCUGGAUUACAGAAUACAAACUACAAGUCCUUCAUUAUGCCAGAAUAUGACACUAAAUAAAGGUCACUGAUCUCAGAUUGUUCUUUGGAAAUAUCCUCCAAAUAAUGUCCACUGGGACAUAUUUUACUGCAGAGAAUGAAAUGGGAAUGCACAUA